AGACCCGAAACCCGGUGAUCUAGCCAUGGGCAGGUUGAAGGUUGGGUAACACUAACUGGAGGACCGAACCGACUAAUGUUGAAAAAUUAGCGGAUGACCUGUGGCUGGGGGUGAAAGGCCAAUCAAACCGGGAGAUAGCUGGUUCUCCCCGAAAGCUAUUUAGGUAGCGCCUCGUGAAUUCAUCUCCGGGGGUAGAGCACUGUUUCGGCCAGGGGGCCAUCCCGGCUUACCAAUCCGAUGCAAACUGCGAAUACCGGAGAAUGUUAUCACGGGAGACACACGGCGGGUGCUAACGUCCGUCGUGAAGAGGGAAACAACCCAGACCGCCAGCUAAGGUCCCAAAGUCAUGGUUAAGUGGGAAACGAUGUGGGAAGGCCCAGACAGCCAGGAUGUUGGCUUAGAAGCAGCCAUCAUUUAAAGAAAGCGUAAUAGCUCACUGGUCGAGUCGGCCUGCGCGGAAGAUGUAACGGGGCUAAACCAUGCACCGAAGCUGCGGCAGCGAACGUAUCACCCAAGACAACUUUACACAGUUGACGACUGACGGAGCGAAGCGACGUCAAAGCGUUUUACAACGUCG
rnacentral:rRNA from 1 species